CUGAAACCUGCCCCGUUCCCCCCUCCAGGUGCAGAUCAAUCGCUACAUGGGCCUCGUCCGCCGCCAGACCAAGGAGCUCGUGGCCAAGAUCCAGGCGAAGCUCCCGGGCCUGGCCAAGAAGAAGCCGGAAUAAACCCCAGGGUAGGGGGGGGGAAUUUGGGGGUACCCGGCGGUGCCCCCCCACUCCAAGCUCAUCUUCUCCCCCCCCCCCCAAACUCCGCCCACCCCCCCGAACUUGUCCCUGUCCCCCCAACCUCACAGUGACGUCUGUCUGUGCCCCCCCCAGUCAAAGUGCGGGGGGGGCUGAACCCCAAAAUUGCUCCCCCGGGGGGGCGCCCCCAAGCUCGUUCCCCCCCCCCCCCUUUUAUUUUUUUAACGUUAAUUGAGGUGAAAUGUCUGUAACUGCUGUAAAUGGGGCAGGAGGGGCUCAGCCCCUCCCACAGCCCCCCCAAACCGCGCCCCCCGAGCCCCCCCCUCGCUCUGGGGGGGUGGGAAAUGGGGGACCUCCCCCCAAAUCCACCCGCGGGGCUGCGGCAACAAUAAAACACCGCGACAAGG